GUUUAUUUUCAUAUAUCUGAUGGUUGUUUAUAGUGUUCGGUGAUAUUUAUAGAUCUCACCUUUUUUCAUGGUAGAGUAACAAUCACUGUUCCUUUGUAGAGGUUCCAUCAGCCUCGGUUCCUGAGUAACCAUAACACAGGACUAACUUGAGAUGGACACAUAGCCUGAGUAAGAAAUCAGACUUGAAGGUUUCUGAAGUACUACAGAAUAACCCAAGUUUUCAUAGAACAUGUCUGGCAUCAUUCGUUGCAUAUACAAUGUCUAAACAUUUGGUGGCACAAGAAGAGAGGACACUAAGAAAAGCUGUGCCAGGGGCCCCAAGUGCUUGUGAAUGGGAAGAAUCCUUGGGCAUUUUAAUGAUUGAAACAAAACAGAAUUUGUUCUCAUAUCAGAAGGCAAUCAAAGAACAUACAGAUAAUAUACAUAUCAUAGAGGUAUGACAUACAGGUAAUUAAUAAAAUUUUUUCUUACUUUGUGUUAUUAAUUUGC
rnacentral:lncRNA from 13 species